UCCCACGGACACAGGUCUACCAGGAACACAGCCACAUCAAGCACCGUCGCAUGAGCAGCUGCCGCGGUAUCGUUGUUGCUGGCGUCACGAACCAGGCACGGACGCAGAUGGCCGAGGCGUUCUUGCGGGCCUUUACUGGUGGCCGCGUGUUUGUGUGCAGCGGGGGCGUGCACCACCUCGGCACCGUGCAUCCGUUGGCCGUGACGGCCAUGGCGGAAAUGGGCAUCGAUGUUAGCCGGCAGUCCUCGUCCUCGCUCGCUGGCGUGCGUCGGCAGCGCGACACUUACGACGUCUACGUCAGUGUUGAUGCCCCCUACACGGAGCGGACAAGCGACCGGUAUCAGCGGCGCUACGCCGACACACAAGCUGCUCAGCAGAGCUCCAUGGGCGCUUCUGGGUUGUCGGCGUCGUGCGCUUCUUCCACUUCGGAUUUCUGCGAUCCACUGCUGGCAUCGGCGACGCCGGCGCACUGGACAGUGUCGCAGGACACAACGGACGGCCGGCAGAGCUGGACGUUGUGGAGUCCGCGCAACCCCGCUAUUUACCACGAGCGGUCGACGCGCAAGCUGCAGGAUCAUCUGUACGAGGGCGAGCCUCUCUUCAUGCGCGUGCGGCCGCACGAACUGCGCAAGGCGUGCCGGGUGCAGCGGCGAUGGGAGGUGCCGGAGCUCACGCAACGGUUCGCGCUGGAGACGGAGGCCGAGCAGAAGGCGCGGUUUGUGCAAGCGCGUGAUCUGCUCGGCUCCCUGGCCCUUGCGCUCGUACGUGACUUGGAGCGGGAGUACGGCGAGACGAUGCUCGACGAGGCCACGGUGGCUGCCUAUGAGAAGGUUGCGGCGACGAGGUGCGGGCCUUGAGCCCACGCGGAGCGCUGCUGCAAGCUUGCUGGUGAUGCCGACGGUACUGCUGCCCAGAUGCCCCAUAUACCCCCCUCCCCUCCACUCUCUCCCUGCGUGUGUGCGCGCGCACGUUUGUCUUCCCAGGAACGCCUUCAAUGCGAUGAUGGUGACCAGUCGCGAGAUGCGCGUGCGCCAUGUCGGGCCGGCGGCCACCGGAGAAGGAGCAACGAGCAAGGCAGGCGAAGCGUCAAGCGAAGCAAGCGACGGCGACUUUCACGGGCAUCCCCGACCGCCUUCCCCUUCCCCUUUCCCCUUUCCCCCAUACCCACGAACGUGCACCGCCGCCACACGUGUGUCUGUCUGCAAGCUGGCUCGGGCCUGUAUGUGUUUCGCCGCGUCGUAAUCGCGGCUAUGCCAUUGCGUGGAUUUCCGCAGCCGCCGCUCUCGAUGCUGCCACAUCUUGGGCUGCUACACCGGCGUCUACAUGUGCCGCGACUGCCGUAUGGGUGCACCCUCUCAAGCCCUCAUGCCUUCAUGCCUCUCCCACCAUCCUCUUUUCGUUUCGACUCUCUCUUUCUCUCUCCCUGCUAG
rnacentral:misc_RNA from 1 species